rnacentral:siRNA from 1 species
UGACCCGGGUUCGAUCCCC